rnacentral:rRNA from 1 species
AUUGAACGCAGGCGGCAGGCUUAACACAUGCAAGUCGAGCGGAGAUGAGGUGCUUGCACCUUAUCUUAGCGGCGGACGGGUGAGUAAUGCUUAGGAAUCUGCCUAUUAGUGGGGGACAACAUUCCGAAAGGAAUGCUAAUACCGCAUACUUCCUACGGGAGAAAGCAGGGGAUCUUCGGACCUUGCGCUAAUAGAUGAGCCUAAGGCGGAUUAGCUAGUUGGUUGGGUAAAGGCCUACCAAGGCGACGAUCUGUAGCGGGUCUGAGAGGAUGAUCCGCCACACUGGGACUGAGACACGGCCCAGACUACUACGGGAAGCAGCAGUGGGGAAUAUUGGACAAUGGGGGGAACCCUGAUCCAGCCAUGCCGCGUGUGUGAAGGAGGCCUUAUGGUUGUAAAGCACUUUAAGCGAGGAGGAGGCUACUGAGACUAAUACUCUUGGAUAGUGGACGUUACUCGCAGAAUAAGCACCGGCUAACUCUGUGCCAGCCGCCGCGGUAA